GUUCCGCUUUCUCGAUGACAUCACUCACGUCGUUAAAGACGGCUAGCGAUGAUUGGUCGGGAAUCAACGUGAAGUCUGACAUGUUUCUUGUCCACGACAAGAAUUUAGGAGUUAAAAAUCGCAUAAUUUCACAGUGACUAUGGUAACAGACAAAAAUGUCGUGUAGUCUGAACAAGGAAUAAGUAACCAGUGAAGGGGUCUCCCUGGAAGGGCAGCACUGGUGGCUGGUUGUAGUUGGCCAUCAUGAAGAUGAAGAUGGUUCCUAACGUCAUAACUGGAGUGACCACAAAGAAGCAGAGUCGGUCCACUGUCCUGGCAAUCCCACUCCAGUUGUCCUUUUCCUGAAGUAGAAAUGGCUGGCUUCAUCUCGUUGUACAGCUGUUCCGACACCUCAGAGUCAUUACCGGAUGUGUAUGCUGUGAAGAAUUUACUCUUUAGUGGCAUUAAACUGAUAACACUGAAAAUAAGAUCAUAAUGUGAGUUUAAAGUGUCA